GGAUGCGAUCAUACCAGCGCUAACGCACUGGAUCCAAUCAGAAUUUCGAACUUAAGCGUGCUUAGGCGAGAGUAGUACUAGGACGGGUGACCCCCUCGGAAGUCCUCGUGUUGCAUCUC
rnacentral:rRNA from 1 species